AUUGCACAUAAAUGAUAUCGCUGUUGAAUGAUAUUUCAUAUCUUUCACAUUUGUUAUAACUGGGCUGCGUACUGCCUGCGAAUUUGAACUUCAGAGCUGAAGGUGCGAGUGGAGAAAUAGUCCCAAUAUCAUAACAAUCUUAAAACUUCUAAAUAUACCCGUGUGUGUACCCGUGUGCGUGCGUGUGUGCGCGCGCGCGUGCUCGCGCGUGUACAUGUAUGUAUGUAUGUAUGUAUGCGCGUGCGUCUGUGUAUUUUGAAUUUAAAAUGUUUUAACUCGGAAGGAUCUGGAUCACAGGUCAUUUCAUCUGAGAUCAAUCCGCACGCAACAGCUGGAAUCACUUACUGAUUCACACAAGGGAGGACACAAUUCAGCCGUUUCCUCAAGUUCACGUCAGAGCGGAGAUGAUGUGAGAGGCAGACCCGAGACAUAGCGAGACAGUCUCCGCUUGGACUGGCUGAGGAAAGUCUCCUAAAUGGCCCUGGAGAUGUUCUGACUGACUUUGGAGGCUUUUUGGACUGUUUUAUGCCCUCUAUUUAAAGAAGACUUAAUUCUGUAUGUUCAGUCUGUAUGAUAAGUGAAUAAGUGAAUAAAAAGCUUUUGUUUUUAUGUGA